CCGAGUUUACAACUCCCAAACCCCUGUGAACAUACCUAUCGUUGCUUCGGCGGGACCGCCCCGGCGCCCCCGGGCCCGGACCCAGGCGCCCGCCGGAGGACCCAAACUCUUGUCUUUAUGGUGUAUCUUCUGAGUGACAUAAGCAAAUAAAAUCA
rnacentral:misc_RNA from 1 species